GUUUGAUCAUGGCUCAGAUUGAACGCUGGCGGCAGGCCUAACACAUGCAAGUCGAGCGGUAGCACAGAGAGCUUGCUCUCGGGUGACGAGCGGCGGACGGGUGAGUAAUGUCUGGGAAACUGCCUGAUGGAGGGGGAUAACUACUGGAAACGGUAGCUAAUACCGCAUAACGUCGCAAGACCAAAGAGGGGGACCUUCGGGCCUCUUGCCAUCAGAUGUGCCCAGAUGGGAUUAGCUAGUAGGUGGGGUAACGGCUCACCUAGGCGACGAUCCCUAGCUGGUCUGAGAGGAUGACCAGCCACACUGGAACUGAGACACGGUCCAGACUCCUACGGGAGGCAGCAGUGGGGAAUUUUCCG
rnacentral:rRNA from 13 species